rnacentral:lncRNA from 1 species
UCCUUCAGACUGUUUCAAAGACCGGGAAGAAGACUUCUUUCUGGGAAGAAGGAGCAUCAGCUGCACCUGAAUCGAAGCCCGCAGAAACUGUUGCAGAAACCGAAUCAAAGCCCGCAGAAACUGUUGCAGAAACUGAAUCGAAGCCCGCAGAAACUGUUGCAGCUGCAUAAUUUGGGUCACUAGUGGCCAGAAAGCUGUUGCUUUCACUUAUUAUGUUACUCUUAAGGAGCUAAAAUGUAUGUUACGGGUCAACAAUAAUAAACAUGUACAAUACCUCGGUGUGUGGUGUUCAGUAUUCGCUAAUUAACUGUAAGCUCCAUUUAUCUUUUAUUUGAGAUGCUCCGUGCAACAGAAACUAGAAAGUGUUUUGGCUGUCUAAAUUUAUCAAGGUGCUGAUAUUCAUGUUGUAACUAAGUUGUUCAUUUGAUUUUGUGGUAUACUUCCAACAUCAGUAAAUCAGGAACCAAGGGAUACGAAGAGUGUCAAGGUCAUGCGAAACCAUGAAUUUCAUGUAAUGGUUCUUCUGGAUAGAUUGGCUAAAAAAAAGUUGUCGCUAGCCAUUCCCAACCAUAAAAAGCCAUGCAGGACCUUGAUAUUUGGAUUGGUUUUUUCCUCAGCCACCAUUAGUUGUUUCAAUUUUGAGUCACUUGAUUAUGGGGCCGUAGGUAGGAUAUAAUCGAGGACUUGGCUGGUAGUCUUCAAAAAAUCAAGAACCCAUAUGGAAGAUAUUUGCUGCCCAUCAUUAUUAUCUAUGGAUUUGGUCAUCUGCUCGCUUAUCAUUAAAUCCGUCAGUAUCGUCCUAGGCCAUGACCUUGUGCGUUAGCUAUAAUAUCAAUGAUUUAACAUGCAUGGGGUGAUGGUGCUUUGCAAAUGCAUUUCUGAUUUAUUUAUAUAUCUCCAAAAAAAAAAAAAAAAAGGUUUCGGAAGCGUAGCCAUUGCAAACUUAAAACUGGAAAAUCAGAAAACGGAGAUAAAUUUGCCGCCUUGAGCUUGGCAUCUAUAGACACGGCUAACUAACGUAUUGUUUUGGCAAGGAAAAGACAAGCUUCCAGCCUCGUAUGGCUUUUUUUUUUUCCUUUUCUUUUCUUUAAUUUGAUUACUUUUUCUCCACGCUUUCACGUACGUGCAGUUUUCAGCUACCAUAAGAGAUACUAAUAUGUCUAAUUGCUUGCAACAAUCCACUGUUUAGAGAAGAAAACAGAAAAAGGAAGUAGUUGUAAGGAAAAGAAAGAUGCCCAUUAAUUCCAUAACAGAACACCACAAUAACCAUCAUGCAGUCCUUUGCUUCCCUCUUGCAGAAUUGCGCCAAGCACAAGUCCAUUUUCAGCGGCAAAGCAGUUCAUGCUCAGCUAAUCAGGUCCGGAUUUAUCCCAGAUGUUUAUACAAACAAUCAUAUGCCCUCGUUGUACCUACAGUUGGGGCAGAUGGGCUAUGCUCAAACCGUGUUCGACAUAAUGCCAAAACGAAACGUUAUCACUUGGACGACGUUGAUUUGCUCGUUUUCUCAGAUGGAUCUCUCGGAAAAAGCCUUAAGUUGCCUUAGGUCAAUGGUUCUUGAAGGGUUUUUGCCGAACGAGCAUACUUAUGUUGGUGCUAUAUCUGCUUGUGUUAAUACAAGGGCUGUUAGUAUUGGGAAGGAAAUUCACGGGAGGAUAUAUAGGACUCAGGAUAGUUUGAAUAGCUUUGUCAGUAAUUCUUUGGUUAAUUUUUACGGCAAAUGUGAGUUGUUGAAGUCGCCUAGGCUUGCAUUUGCUGCUAUCUUGGAGCCUAAUUUGGUUGCCUGGGCUUCACUCAUAUCUUGUUGUUUUCAGUGUGGACAGAACGAGGAAGGUUUGAAAUUGUUCUUAAGGUCCUUGAGGGUGGGAAUGACUGUUAACGAGUUCACUUGUUCGAGUGUUCUGGGUGCUUGUACUAUGUUGGAAAUUUUGGAACUUGGGAAGCUACUCCACUGCCCAGUCGUUAAGUGUUGUAUUCCUGCACAAUUGUAUUCCUGCACAAAGGAAGUGUCAUCCCCUUUACCCUGCUCAAUGAAAACAACUAUGAUAUCCCUCUUCAGCAGAGACUUUAUCCAAUAAUCAUAAUUAACCAUCUCCCUUGUACUUUCUUACGCAUACCAGCUAUAUAUCCCUUAAAUUCUCUCUAUUUUCCAUCCAGUUAUAUAUAACAAUAUAAAAAUAAACAUAUCCAAAUUAUACCAAAUUAUUCAUUUACCUUAAAUUUUAAAAAAAUAAUUUACAUUUCAUUAUUUUAACUAAUAUUUCCAUCCAUUCUAAAUAUCAAUUAUUAAAUGAAUCUUACAUUACAUAUAUAUAUGUAUAUAUAUAUAUAUAUAUGUACACGCACAUAAACAAAUAAAUAAAUAUAAAAUAAACAAACAAAACCACAAAAUAUAUAAACACUACAAAAAUUUCAACUAUUCUAUCACCUAAAAUAAAAUACUAAACACACACACACACACAUAUACAUAAAUACAUACAUACAUACAUACAUAUCACAAAAUAUAUCAUAUACCUAUAACUACAUAUUAAUACAAAAUUCACUCCAACUUUAAAUAACAUAAAAUAACUCAUAUAAACAUCAAACAAUAAAUAUUAAAAAAAUUCUACCACAAAUUCCACUAAUUAAACUCUAAAUUUUCAUAUCCAAUAAUUUUUAUUUCUUAUAUAAAAAUUUAUACACAUCACCUUAACUUCAAUAAUAUCCAUUCAUCAAUAAACUAUUAAUAUAUCAACUCUCUCAGCUCUCAAAAUCAAUAUUAUCCUUUAUUCAUUCAAAUUCUAUUAAUCAAAUCAAUUUUACUAUAUUUAUUUAUAAAUAAAUAAAUCCAAUAUAUCAAUACUCUAUCCACUCUUCCAACCCCAUUAUCAUACAAAAUACUAUAAAUCUAUACUAUUAAAUAAAUCUUUCAUUACCCUAAUAUAUUUAAUAAUGGACUCCCCGCGGAAGCCGCGGGGCACCAAGCCUAGUGAUAAUUUUAAUUCAGUCAUCAGCAAUCAUGUCUCAGGUACUCCCUUCUUCUUCUUCUUCUUCUUCUUCCCUCCGAUUUCUUGUUUGGUAGCAUUCAUGAUUAGUUUUGUAAAUUCAGGUGGAAUCAGGUUGCGAAUGCUGGUCUGUUUGGAUUGUAAGUUAUUUGGGAUUAUUUGAGAUAUUUUUACUGUAACACUUUUUGUGAUGUGAUGUAUGUGAGAUAAAAAGAUAUUGGGAAGAUAAAAAGGUGUAUUGGAAAUUGUAAAUAUAAUGUAAGCAAAUAAAAUUGGAAAAAUAUGAAGCAAUCCAAACAAACCAUAAUCUCAUAGUUUAGCUAAAAGUUUCCCGUUAGUUGCCCUACCCGAAAUUUCUCGAAUUAGAACUGAUUUGGGUGCCCUAAGAUUUAAUCGGGGUAAUUUGCUUAGUUGAAAUUAGGCUAUUUUCCGUGUUCAUGUAAGAUAAUGUGGUUACUCAUCUGUUCUUGAAUAUUUAUGUAUGUAAAAGUGUCCCUUUUUUUUUUUUUUUUUUUUUUAAAUGUAAUACAACGCUUUAUCACCGCUAGCAUUUGGUUCUACCGAAGCAUCGAGCAGGCAAUUUGGAAGUAGCAUGGGAAUAUAAGCAAUGCUUUACUCGACUUGUAAUUCUGACCUUAAUAUUUCUCAUUUUCCAUGUUUGCAGACUGUUGUCCUCAAGGUUGGCAUGUCAUGCCAAGGCUGUGUUGGAGCUGUGAAUCGGGUGUUAAGCAAAAUGGAAGGUUUGUCAACUUGCCUAUUCUUCUACUAUCCUUCAUUUGAUUGUUUGUCAUUGACACCACUGACUUUGAAACUAUCAAUGAGGAAAAUCUGUGCCCCCUGACCAUGUUGAUUAUGCUCUUCGGAUGUGCAAUAUAGCCUUUUGCUGUAAUAUCUUGUCAGAAGUGUGCAAAAUCUGGUGGCCACCUAGAGAAAUUGGUUAGCUGAGUUGGUGCUUGAUUUUACAAAUGAUUUCUCAACUGUCAAAUAAGCCUGUCCCAGAACUUUCAUGUUCUUGUAAAGUAAUAGAAGUGAAGGUUUGUUGAUUGAUUAGUCGUUCAGUGCUUAUUUCAGACUGCAUGGUAGCCGGCUUAAUAAUUCCUGACUUUGCACCAGGCCAUAGUUUCAAGUGCUAUUUUGAUCAAAAGAAACUAGUGAUAUUUGCAUUCAGCACUUGGCUGUUUCUUUGUUAAUUGCCCAAAAAAAAAAGGAUAGAAGUUUGCCAAUAUAGAGCUGAGAAUUUAAAUACCAUUCAUAUAGCAAAUGAGUCGACUAUAUCAGACUCGUAUACCGCUGCAGACUCUGCAAUAUUCUAUUAUUUUUAUCAACUGAUCACAUGUUGAACAUUGUUCUAUAUAUAAUGUCAAGAAGAAAGUCUAGCCUAGAUUGCAUUUAGGGAGCCUUGUAGGAGAAGGAGAGAUGAGACUCUUGAAAGCAAUAUCGGAUGCUUGCACACACUUUUCGAGCUUUGGUUUCGGAUCCACUUAUAACCCCUAUGCAUUUGCCAUCGAGGAGUUUGCCUUUACUAAAUCGAGCACCACUUGUAAGUCAUUUUUUAACUCAAGGUGUGGGGGAAUGUCGGUUGGAACCCUUCUUCUUUUACCAACUGAGCUAUCAAAAAAUGUAGUAGUGAAGAAAGAAUUGGUGCGGAAAAUGGGAUGGCCCCCUCUUCUCAUCACAUUAAAGACGUGCGGCUCUAUAUAAGGCUCGUACUUCAGAGCAAGUGAAGAAAAAAUAAGAGUGCACGUUACCACUCUUGCAAGAAAAAUGGCCUAGCUAAGGCGCCUCUUAUUUAUUAAUAACUAAAGAAAAACUUUGAUAUAAGAAAGAUGCGCUCAAGCACCCAACCUAUAUAAGGGGUGCUUGGGCUCGAAAGCCGGCCUAACUCAGCAAGCAUCUUUCUUAGUAAUAUAGGUAGAGUUGGGGCCGUGCUUUCUGAGAUCUGUCAGGCUCCGGCCUAGCACCGCCACAAUGGCUUCAAGAGUCACCGGAAAGUUAACAGAAUGAGAGGAAAGAGAGAAAGGUAGGUAGAGGGAGAGAGAGAGGGAAAUAACAGAAAGAGGGAAGAAUUGGAAUUUGUUGAUUUCAGACAAUAAGAUCCUAACUGCCUAUUACAAUCCUCCGGUGGGUUAUUUAUGCAAUUAAGCUUUAACCGUCUUUAUUCACUACUAAUUGCCACUUAGUUGAACGACACCGUUUCUGGCAUCUGUGCCCUGUGCCUACCAAACGCUACGUUUUGUGAACAAAACGACAAUAGCUAACUUCUGAGUUCCUGACAAUCCCUCCCCCUUAAGCAAAGCUUGUCCUCAAGCUUGGAAUGCUGGAAACUGUUUGUCGAUGAAGUCCUUGUCUUCCCAAGAGGCCUCGGAUUCUGGUAGCUGAUCCCACUUCAUUAAGUACUGGAUGACCACGAUAGAGUUACGCCUGAUAGCUCGUCUUCUCAAGACUGCCUCAGGUUGAAGUAAGCAUUGGUCAGAGGAGUCCCAAGCAGGCAACAUAGGGUCAGUGCCCUGAGCAUCUCCAAUCCUUUUCUUUAACAGUGAAACAUGAAACACUGGAUGAACCUUAGCUCCAUCAGGUAACCGUAACCUAUAGGCCACCGCCCCUACCUUGGCAAUGAUCUGGAAAGGUCCAUAGUAUUUUGCUGUGAGCUUCAAACUUUUUCGAAGAGCCACCGUUUGUUGUCUAUAAGGUUGUAGUUUAAGAAACACCCAAUCCCCCACUUGAAGUGUACGUUCCGAUCUAUGUCUGUCAGCAAAGAGUUUCAUGCGGUUCUGUGCCUUUGCCAAAUUCUCCUUGAUGAGCGAAAUGACCUGGAGCCUAUCCUGCACCAGGUCAGUUGCAGCUGGGAUAACACUGUCGUGGAAAGGCCCCAAGGGAAUGUGGUUGGGCUUGUAUCCAUACAAUGCCUCAAAUGGAGUAAUCUGUAAGCUGGUGUGGAAGUUGGUGUUGUACCAAAGCUCAGCUGUGGGUAGCCAUCUACUCCAUUGAGAGGGGUGUUCACUGCACAUACACCUAAGAUAUGUUUCCAGGCAUUGGUUCACGCGCUCACUCUGACCAUCAGACUGGGGAUGGUAGGAUGAGCUAUAAUGCAGGCCAACUCCCAACAGAUGGAACAACUCUUGCCAAAACCUGCUAACAAAAAUUUUAUCCCUAUCUGAAAUCACAGAUUCUGGUAGUCCAUGAAGCCUAUAAAUCUGGUCAAGGAAGACCUGGGCUAUCUGUUGCGCAGUGAAAAGAUGUGUGAGACGAAUGAAGUGACUGAAUUUUGUCAGUCGAUCCACCACUACUAAGAUAGUGUCACAACCAUGAGAUAGGGGCAGCUGCUCAAUGAAAUCCAUGGAUAUGUGGGACCAUGCCUGUUGUGGAACUGGGAUAGGUUGCAAAAGUCCAGGAUAGGGAACAUUCUCAUGCUUGUUCCUUUGGCAUACAUCACAAGACCUGACAAAAGUGACAACAUCCUGCUUGAGCCCCGGCCAAAAAAAUAAAGUUUGUAUCCUGUGUAGACAUCCCCUUUGGCCAGAAUGCCCCCCUACUGCUGAGUCAUGUAGAGCCUUGAUCACCUUGCCACGAAUACUAUUAGCAGAUCCCACAUAUAAUCUAUCUUUAAACUUGAGCAUUCCCUUAUCCAAGUGAUAGUCUGAUACUGCAUUGGGGUCUAACAGGAGCUGAGCUAUCUUCUACUGAGCUUCAUUAUCCCCCUCAUAGCUUGCAACCAACUCCUGCAUCCAUGUUGGUUGGACUGAGGAAAUUGCACACAUGGUACAAUUUACUGCUACGUCCCCCUGAGGGUGUUCAAACUUCCUCCUGGAUAGCGCAUCUGCCACCCCAUUUCAGCUCCUUUUUUGUACUGGAUUUCGUAGUCCAGGCCAAGUAAUUUGGUGAGCCAUUUAUGUUGCAGGGGGUGCGUGAGCUUCUGCUCCAGCAAGUGUUUGAGAGCUUGGUGGUCAGUUUUGAUGACAAAAUGAUGGCCCACCAAGUAGUGUUUCCAUUUGGUCACGGCUAGCACCAGAGCAAAUAGCUCCUUCUCAUAAACAGAUAACCCCAAGUUCUGGCUGGAUAGAGCUUUGCUGAGGAAAGCUAUAGGGUGUCCAUGUUGCAUUAGCACUGCUCCAAUCCCUACCCCACAAGCAUCAGUCUCUAUGACAAAAGGAAUUUCAAAAUCUGGCAUACUGAGUACUGGAGCUGUGGUCAUAGCUCUUUUGAGGUCUUCAAAAGCCAUCUGAGCAUGAUGGUUCCACCCAAAACUCUCCUUCUUCAGUAGCUGAGUUAAAGGCUUGCAAAUCACACCAUACCCCUUUAUAAAUCUUCUGUAAUAUCCAGUCAGCCCCAAGAAUCCCCUUAAUUCCUUAACUGAGUUAGGAGUGGGCCAAGACAGGAUACAUCCCACCUUAUCUGGGUCCAUGUUGACACCAACCUCAGAAAUCACAUGCCCCAAAUACUCCAUGGAUGUCUGAGCAAAAGAGCAUUUUGACUUUUUACAGUAUAACUGGUUAUCCGCUAAGAUUUGGAGUACAAUUUUUAGGUGCUGCGCAUGUGACUCUAGAGUGGGACUGUAGACCAAGAUGUCAUCAAAAAAUACCAAUACAAAUUUUCUCAGGAAUGGCUGGAAAAUCCUAUUCAUCAAAGCCUGAAAUGUAGCUGGUGCGUUUGUUAGGCCAAAAGGCAUUACUAGAAAUUCAAAGUGCCCAUGGUGUGUUUGGAAAGCAGUCUUGGGAAUGUCUGCUACCUUGACCCUCAACUGAUGGUACCCAGCCCUGAGGUCUAACUUAGACAUAAAUUUGGUGCCAUGUAACUCAUCUAGCAAUUCAUCAAUAUUGGGGAUGGGAAAUCUAUCCUUGACAGUCACCUCAUUGAGCUUCCUGUAGUCUAUACAUAAUCUCCAAGUGCCAUCUUUUUUUUUAACUAACAAGACAGGGGAAGCAAAAGGACUAGUACUGUGUUUAACAAUUCCAUUCGUAAGCAUUUCUGCAACCUGCUUCUCAAUUUCUGCUUUAUGGGAGUGGGGAUACCUGUAAGGCUUGAGUUUAAAUGGUUCUGCCCCUGGUUUGAGAGGGAUUUGGUGAUCCAGCUCCCUUUCUGGAGGUAGUCCCGUUGGAGUAGCAAAGAUCUGUGGAAACUGCUGUAAGACCUGUUCCACCAACUCUGGGAUGUCCUUCUGAAGGUCUUUGGUGGAGUUCGUCUGCAGGUGUGCACAACUCUUCUUUCGUUCUUGGAUGAAGGAUCUGAGGUCCCUUCCCCUCACAAGCUCCAUCGUAGGUUGAUUUAUGAACCCUUGGAGGUGGAGUAAUUGCCCUCGAUCACUGAGUGCUAUGCUGAGAGUGUGGAAGUCAAAGGUGAUUGGACUGAACUGACACAUCCAGUCAACCCCCAGGAUGAUAUCCCAACCUCCUAGUUCCAUUAUCUUCAUGUCAAACUGAAAUUUGUAGUCUUGUAUCCUCCAGGCUACCUUAGGACAGGCUGUCCCACUGGUGAUGUCUGUCCCAUUGGCUAAAGUCACAAUAAAAGGAUUCACAGAUUGAUAAGGUAAAUGCAGUAAGGUAACAAUUCUAUGGUUGAUGAAACUGUCAGAACUCCCGGUGUCCACUAGUAUUUUAAUUGGUAAGCCACCUAUACUGCCAAUUAGCAUGAUGGACUUCCUCUGAAUGGCACCAGACAAGGCAUUCAGUGAUACUUCAGCCGUCUCUCCAACUCUGCCAGUAAACUCAUCCUGUUCCCCCACUGCAUCCUCAAAAUCAUUCUCUUCUUCCUCUUCCUCUUCCACACUAACGCAGUUCAAACCUCUUGUCCUGCACUGGUGUCCCAACCCAAACUUCUCUCCACACCUGUAGCAUAGGUUGUUUUUGCGCCUGUACUGCAGCUCUUCUGCUGAAAGUCUUCCUACCUCCUUGUGUGCAACUUCGGUCCUUCUAGAGUUAGGAGUUAUCGCAGGAAGCCUGUAAGAAUUAGGUAGAUUCUGUCCACCAGGUUGCCCCUUGUACAUCCCAAACUUAGGCUCCAUGGCAAUCUUGCCAGAAUUUUUAGUCUGCUUACAUUGCACCUCCAGUGCAUACUCCUGCAACUCUGCUACUUCAAAUGCUUUGGUCAAUGUCUGUGGUCGAAACAUCUUUACCAUGGGCUUGAUCUCCUCUUUUAACCCACUGAUAAAGCUGGAAACAAAAUAGGACUCAUCUAAUCUGGGGUUCUUGGUUAACAUCAAAGUUUUUAAUUCUUCAAAUUUUUCCUCAUACUCCUCCACUGUCCCCACUUGUUGCAGCUUGUUAAAUUCUUCUACGAUGUCGAGCGAUCCCUUGCCAGAGAAACGCUCACAUAGCAACUCGCUAAACUCUUCCCAAUUUAGCCCAGGUAUAGCUAAUUUCACCCCUUGGAACCAAUUAUCGGCUUUGCCUUCUAAGAACAUCUCCACUAAAUCCACUUUCUGGCAAGCAGGUAUGUGAUAGUUCAAAAAAUAUUUAUGACAUUUCCUAAGCCAUUCCCUUGGAUUCCCUGCCAUAAACAUCGGCAAAUCUAAUCUAGGUAAAUUGGGGGUGAACAUCCUACCUCUGGACUCCUGCUGUUGGCCGGCCAUUUCAGCCUGAGUCGCCAGUCGGACAUGCGAGGGUGGUGUAGGUAGAAGAGGUUCGGAAGGUCCUCCUUCAUUCUCCUGGCCUCCCUUGUCCUUCAUCAUCACUUUCAUUAACGCGUUGAACUUUUGCUCCAACUUGCAGAACUUCUGGUCCAGAUUUCCCACCACCGACUCCAGUCUCGAGUUGCUCUUCUCCAUUUCCUCAUUGAGUCUCUGUUGUAGCUCAUUCUGCGCCGACGUGUGCAGAGCAACCAUGGAUUCGGCCAAUUCCUGGAGCUUACUCUCCUGUUUCUUCAGCUGAUCCUCCAAGGAUCGGUAUCUCGUGCCUUCCGCCAUGGCAGGUCUUCUUCCUCAGCAGCCAAGGAUCGGCUGCUCUGAUACCAACUGUCAGGCUCCGGCCUAGCACCGCCACAAUGGCUUCAAGAGUCACCGGAAAGUUAACAGAAUGAGAGGAAAGAGAGAAAGGUAGGUAGAGGGAGAGAGAGAGGGAAAUAACAGAAAGAGGGAAGAAUUGGAAUUUGUUGAUUUCAGACAAUAAGAUCCUAACUGCCUAUUACAAUCCUCCGGUGGGUUAUUUAUGCAAUUAAGCUUUAACCGUCUUUAUUCACUACUAAUUGCCACUUAGUUGAACGACACCGUUUCUGGCAUCUGUGCCCUGUGCCUACCAAACGCUACGUUUUGUGAACAAAACGACAAUAGCUAACUUCUGAGUUCCUGACAAUCCCUCCCCCUUAAGCAAAGCUUGUCCUCAAGCUUGGAAUGCUGGAAACUGUUUGUCGAUGAAGUCCUUGUCUUCCCAAGAGGCCUCGGAUUCUGGUAGCUGAUCCCACUUCAUUAAGUACUGGAUGACCACGAUAGAGUUACGCCUGAUAGCUCGUCUUCUCAAGACUGCCUCAGGUUGAAGUAAGCAUUGGUCAGAGGAGUCCCAAGCAGGCAACAUAGGGUCAGUGCCCUGAGCAUCUCCAAUCCUUUUCUUUAACAGUGAAACAUGAAACACUGGAUGAACCUUAGCUCCAUCAGGUAACCGUAACCUAUAGGCCACCGCCCCUACCUUGGCAAUGAUCUGGAAAGGUCCAUAGUAUUUUGCUGUGAGCUUCAAACUUUUUCGAAGAGCCACCGUUUGUUGUCUAUAAGGUUGUAGUUUAAGAAACACCCAAUCCCCCACUUGAAGUGUACGUUCCGAUCUAUGUCUGUCAGCAAAGAGUUUCAUGCGGUUCUGUGCCUUUGCCAAAUUCUCCUUGAUGAGCGAAAUGACCUGGAGCCUAUCCUGCACCAGGUCAGUUGCAGCUGGGAUAACACUGUCGUGGAAAGGCCCCAAGGGAAUGUGGUUGGGCUUGUAUCCAUACAAUGCCUCAAAUGGAGUAAUCUGUAAGCUGGUGUGGAAGUUGGUGUUGUACCAAAGCUCAGCUGUGGGUAGCCAUCUACUCCAUUGAGAGGGGUGUUCACUGCACAUACACCUAAGAUAUGUUUCCAGGCAUUGGUUCACGCGCUCACUCUGACCAUCAGACUGGGGAUGGUAGGAUGAGCUAUAAUGCAGGCCAACUCCCAACAGAUGGAACAACUCUUGCCAAAACCUGCUAACAAAAAUUUUAUCCCUAUCUGAAAUCACAGAUUCUGGUAGUCCAUGAAGCCUAUAAAUCUGGUCAAGGAAGACCUGGGCUAUCUGUUGCGCAGUGAAAAGAUGUGUGAGACGAAUGAAGUGACUGAAUUUUGUCAGUCGAUCCACCACUACUAAGAUAGUGUCACAACCAUGAGAUAGGGGCAGCUGCUCAAUGAAAUCCAUGGAUAUGUGGGACCAUGCCUGUUGUGGAACUGGGAUAGGUUGCAAAAGUCCAGGAUAGGGAACAUUCUCAUGCUUGUUCCUUUGGCAUACAUCACAAGACCUGACAAAAGUGACAACAUCCUGCUUGAGCCCCGGCCAAAAAAAUAAAGUUUGUAUCCUGUGUAGACAUCCCCUUUGGCCAGAAUGCCCCCCUACUGCUGAGUCAUGUAGAGCCUUGAUCACCUUGCCACGAAUACUAUUAGCAGAUCCCACAUAUAAUCUAUCUUUAAACUUGAGCAUUCCCUUAUCCAAGUGAUAGUCUGAUACUGCAUUGGGGUCUAACAGGAGCUGAGCUAUCUUCUACUGAGCUUCAUUAUCCCCCUCAUAGCUUGCAACCAACUCCUGCAUCCAUGUUGGUUGGACUGAGGAAAUUGCACACAUGGUACAAUUUACUGCUACGUCCCCCUGAGGGUGUUCAAACUUCCUCCUGGAUAGCGCAUCUGCCACCCCAUUUCAGCUCCUUUUUUGUACUGGAUUUCGUAGUCCAGGCCAAGUAAUUUGGUGAGCCAUUUAUGUUGCAGGGGGUGCGUGAGCUUCUGCUCCAGCAAGUGUUUGAGAGCUUGGUGGUCAGUUUUGAUGACAAAAUGAUGGCCCACCAAGUAGUGUUUCCAUUUGGUCACGGCUAGCACCAGAGCAAAUAGCUCCUUCUCAUAAACAGAUAACCCCAAGUUCUGGCUGGAUAGAGCUUUGCUGAGGAAAGCUAUAGGGUGUCCAUGUUGCAUUAGCACUGCUCCAAUCCCUACCCCACAAGCAUCAGUCUCUAUGACAAAAGGAAUUUCAAAAUCUGGCAUACUGAGUACUGGAGCUGUGGUCAUAGCUCUUUUGAGGUCUUCAAAAGCCAUCUGAGCAUGAUGGUUCCACCCAAAACUCUCCUUCUUCAGUAGCUGAGUUAAAGGCUUGCAAAUCACACCAUACCCCUUUAUAAAUCUUCUGUAAUAUCCAGUCAGCCCCAAGAAUCCCCUUAAUUCCUUAACUGAGUUAGGAGUGGGCCAAGACAGGAUACAUCCCACCUUAUCUGGGUCCAUGUUGACACCAACCUCAGAAAUCACAUGCCCCAAAUACUCCAUGGAUGUCUGAGCAAAAGAGCAUUUUGACUUUUUACAGUAUAACUGGUUAUCCGCUAAGAUUUGGAGUACAAUUUUUAGGUGCUGCGCAUGUGACUCUAGAGUGGGACUGUAGACCAAGAUGUCAUCAAAAAAUACCAAUACAAAUUUUCUCAGGAAUGGCUGGAAAAUCCUAUUCAUCAAAGCCUGAAAUGUAGCUGGUGCGUUUGUUAGGCCAAAAGGCAUUACUAGAAAUUCAAAGUGCCCAUGGUGUGUUUGGAAAGCAGUCUUGGGAAUGUCUGCUACCUUGACCCUCAACUGAUGGUACCCAGCCCUGAGGUCUAACUUAGACAUAAAUUUGGUGCCAUGUAACUCAUCUAGCAAUUCAUCAAUAUUGGGGAUGGGAAAUCUAUCCUUGACAGUCACCUCAUUGAGCUUCCUGUAGUCUAUACAUAAUCUCCAAGUGCCAUCUUUUUUUUUAACUAACAAGACAGGGGAAGCAAAAGGACUAGUACUGUGUUUAACAAUUCCAUUCGUAAGCAUUUCUGCAACCUGCUUCUCAAUUUCUGCUUUAUGGGAGUGGGGAUACCUGUAAGGCUUGAGUUUAAAUGGUUCUGCCCCUGGUUUGAGAGGGAUUUGGUGAUCCAGCUCCCUUUCUGGAGGUAGUCCCGUUGGAGUAGCAAAGAUCUGUGGAAACUGCUGUAAGACCUGUUCCACCAACUCUGGGAUGUCCUUCUGAAGGUCUUUGGUGGAGUUCGUCUGCAGGUGUGCACAACUCUUCUUUCGUUCUUGGAUGAAGGAUCUGAGGUCCCUUCCCCUCACAAGCUCCAUCGUAGGUUGAUUUAUGAACCCUUGGAGGUGGAGUAAUUGCCCUCGAUCACUGAGUGCUAUGCUGAGAGUGUGGAAGUCAAAGGUGAUUGGACUGAACUGACACAUCCAGUCAACCCCCAGGAUGAUAUCCCAACCUCCUAGUUCCAUUAUCUUCAUGUCAAACUGAAAUUUGUAGUCUUGUAUCCUCCAGGCUACCUUAGGACAGGCUGUCCCACUGGUGAUGUCUGUCCCAUUGGCUAAAGUCACAAUAAAAGGAUUCACAGAUUGAUAAGGUAAAUGCAGUAAGGUAACAAUUCUAUGGUUGAUGAAACUGUCAGAACUCCCGGUGUCCACUAGUAUUUUAAUUGGUAAGCCACCUAUACUGCCAAUUAGCAUGAUGGACUUCCUCUGAAUGGCACCAGACAAGGCAUUCAGUGAUACUUCAGCCGUCUCUCCAACUCUGCCAGUAAACUCAUCCUGUUCCCCCACUGCAUCCUCAAAAUCAUUCUCUUCUUCCUCUUCCUCUUCCACACUAACGCAGUUCAAACCUCUUGUCCUGCACUGGUGUCCCAACCCAAACUUCUCUCCACACCUGUAGCAUAGGUUGUUUUUGCGCCUGUACUGCAGCUCUUCUGCUGAAAGUCUUCCUACCUCCUUGUGUGCAACUUCGGUCCUUCUAGAGUUAGGAGUUAUCGCAGGAAGCCUGUAAGAAUUAGGUAGAUUCUGUCCACCAGGUUGCCCCUUGUACAUCCCAAACUUAGGCUCCAUGGCAAUCUUGCCAGAAUUUUUAGUCUGCUUACAUUGCACCUCCAGUGCAUACUCCUGCAACUCUGCUACUUCAAAUGCUUUGGUCAAUGUCUGUGGUCGAAACAUCUUUACCAUGGGCUUGAUCUCCUCUUUUAACCCACUGAUAAAGCUGGAAACAAAAUAGGACUCAUCUAAUCUGGGGUUCUUGGUUAACAUCAAAGUUUUUAAUUCUUCAAAUUUUUCCUCAUACUCCUCCACUGUCCCCACUUGUUGCAGCUUGUUAAAUUCUUCUACGAUGUCGAGCGAUCCCUUGCCAGAGAAACGCUCACAUAGCAACUCGCUAAACUCUUCCCAAUUUAGCCCAGGUAUAGCUAAUUUCACCCCUUGGAACCAAUUAUCGGCUUUGCCUUCUAAGAACAUCUCCACUAAAUCCACUUUCUGGCAAGCAGGUAUGUGAUAGUUCAAAAAAUAUUUAUGACAUUUCCUAAGCCAUUCCCUUGGAUUCCCUGCCAUAAACAUCGGCAAAUCUAAUCUAGGUAAAUUGGGGGUGAACAUCCUACCUCUGGACUCCUGCUGUUGGCCGGCCAUUUCAGCCUGAGUCGCCAGUCGGACAUGCGAGGGUGGUGUAGGUAGAAGAGGUUCGGAAGGUCCUCCUUCAUUCUCCUGGCCUCCCUUGUCCUUCAUCAUCACUUUCAUUAACGCGUUGAACUUUUGCUCCAACUUGCAGAACUUCUGGUCCAGAUUUCCCACCACCGACUCCAGUCUCGAGUUGCUCUUCUCCAUUUCCUCAUUGAGUCUCUGUUGUAGCUCAUUCUGCGCCGACGUGUGCAGAGCAACCAUGGAUUCGGCCAAUUCCUGGAGCUUACUCUCCUGUUUCUUCAGCUGAUCCUCCAAGGAUCGGUAUCUCGUGCCUUCCGCCAUGGCAGGUCUUCUUCCUCAGCAGCCAAGGAUCGGCUGCUCUGAUACCAACUGUCAGGCUCCGGCCUAGCACCGCCACAAUGGCUUCAAGAGUCACCGGAAAGUUAACAGAAUGAGAGGAAAGAGAGAAAGGUAGGUAGAGGGAGAGAGAGAGGGAAAUAACAGAAAGAGGGAAGAAUUGGAAUUUGUUGAUUUCAGACAAUAAGAUCCUAACUGCCUAUUACAAUCCUCCGGUGAGUUAUUUAUGCAAUUAAGCUUUAACCGUCUUUAUUCACUACUAAUUGCCACUUAGUUGAACGACACCGUUUCUGGCAUCUGUGCCCUGUGCCUACCAAACGCUACGUUUUGUGAACAAAACGACAAUAGCUAACUUCUGAGUUCCUGACAAGAUCCCGCUCAACCCUAUCCUAAAAGGGGCCCUUGUAGAGUUUUUGCAUAGAGAAGCGACAUCCUUGGAUCUCAAAUUGUUCCUUGAUGAAGAAUAUAUAUAUAUAUAUAUAUAUAUAUAUAUAUUACGAUUUGGAGCUCUGUAGACAAAGAAAUGACCAAAAUAUCUUUAACUGGUCAAUCCCUUGUGUCAAUUUUCGACAACAAAAAUGGCCAACCGUAUUUUGACUUUUUAACUAUGAAAACUCAUGAACUGGAUUUCAAGGUCUUCGCAUCAUUCUGAGGUGUAAGUGGGAGAGAUAGGAUGUCAUAAUUGGGGUUUUGAAUAAGACAAUCUUUUUCUUUUUCAUUUUUUCAUGUUAGCUGUAAAAGGGCUAAAAAAUUACCUCAAUCUGAUACUUGUAACUCAACAUAUAGCCAAAAUACCAACAUGUGUCAAAGCUAUUGAUAAUGAGCUCAUGACUGACCAAACACCUCCAAGGUUAACAAUCCAAGUUCAAGCAAUGAUCAAAUUGUUCUUGUUGAUCUUGGUCCCUAACUUUUGAUAUUUACAAAAAUAAUUGGAUGAUACUAAUAUCUCUUCAAGAAAUAUUUUCAGCUAUGAAGCAAAUCUAAUUCAAAGAUCAAGAGCAUUUGAAAGAGAUAAAGGAAGUUGAAAGCUGUCGGACGCUCGCAAAGACAACAUCGGACGUCCAAUAACAAUGUAGCACUUUGGACGCAUGAAAAACUCAAUCACCGGACGUCUGAAAGAAUUAAGAUAUUCCCUCACACUCACUGUCUGUUUUCGAAAGCAAAGCAUUAGAGGUACCGGACGUCCGAAAGAAUUGAAGAAAAUUUUUCAAAUUCACCAUCUGCUUUUGGACGUAAGCAUCAGAGAUACCGGACGUCCAAAAGAAUUGAAAGAAAUUCUUCAAAUUCACUGCCUGCUGUCAGACGCAAGUGUCGAAAGUACCAGACGUCCGAUACUCCCAACGACUAGUUGAAUUUUCAGCUGCCUUCUAUCCGUUGGAAGUAUUAAUAGAGCACUUUUUGGUCUCAUAUAAAUAGUACAUAGUCAACAACUUAAGAAGAACUUUUGCACAUUGAGAAUACAAAAGAUCAAGAGUAGUUUUAGUGAGAAAGCACUCUACAAGAAAGAUUUGUACUCUUUGUUGUGUAAAAUUCAUGUAAACUUUUCUUGUGUGAGAAAAAUACUUCAAUAGUAUAGGUUUGUGAGAGUUAUCCUGAGUGAUAGUAAAACUUCCUAACUUGACCGAGUGUAAAUUGGGGUAUGGAGGAAGUGAUCCUUCUUUUGUACACAAAGAUUGGUUGUAUUUCAUCAAAUUGAAUAAAGUUGUUCUAUAAAGUGAUAUUCAAGCUCAAGAAGAGUUUGAAAGUCAAAUUAGUUUGCUAUUCUUCCCUUAUUAUUUACUAUCUUGUGAACCUUAAUUGCUUAUCUCCUUUACUCUCAAGCAAUCUUGCUCUCUUACUAAUUGUUUCAUUGAGUGGUCACCUAGAAAAUAGGGCAAAUUUCAUAUUGAACAAAAAAAACGUCUCAUAACCUAAUUAGAUUUUAAAUAACCCAAUUCACUCCCCUUUUAGGUUGUUUUCAAUUCUUACAACUGGUAUCAGAGUUUGAUUUUCUAGAGAUUAAGCUCAAGCGACUUAGGAGUAAAUAUGACAACCAACAAUAUCAUAUUUUUUGAAGGACAAUCUGUCACUAGACCACCAAUAUUCAAUGGGUCAAAUUAUGUGAGUUGGAAGGAAAUAAUGAUUAUCUUCUUGCAAUCGAUUGAUAUUAAUUUGUGGUUUAUUGUAAAUGAAGGUCCAUAUGAUGUCUCUACAAUUGAUAAAGUUACUCAUAGACCAAAACCAAAAACAAGAAUUGAACUGACUACUGAAGAUAGAGCUCACCUCACCUUAAAUGCUAAACCUAUAAAUGUGCUAUAUAGUGAUUUAGACUCAAAUGAAUCCAUCAGCGUCAAAGGUUGUAAGUCUGCUAAAGAGAUUUGGGAUAAAUUGAGAGAAAUUCAUAAAGUGAGUGAGAAUGUAAGAGAACAAAAGAAAUCUAUUUUAGUUACUAAAUAUGAAUCAUUUAAGAUGGAAUCUCAUGAAAAUAUUGACAAAAUGUAUUGUAAAUUCAAUGAUCUCAUUAAUGAUUUCGAAAUAUUGAAAAAGAAAUACUCCUUAUGAGAGAAAAACAGAAAAAUCUUGAAUGUUUUAUCUAAAGAUUGGAAAAAUAAGGUGACUGCUAUUGAAGAGACUAAAAAUUUAAAUACGAUGCCUAUUGAAUCACUUAUUAAUUCUCUAAUCUCUUAUGAGGUGAAACUUAAGACUAAAGUAUAAGAGGAAGAAGAUGCAAAGGUAAGAAGGAGCAUUACUCUAAAAGCAUCUCAAGAUGAAAAUGACUCGGCUUCCUUGGAUGGAGAAGAUGUAGAUAUUGACGACAUUGAUCUUGCUCUUAUCACAAGAAAUUUCAAGAGAAUUCUCAACAAAAGAAGAUUUAGAAAAGUAUGACCUAGCAAUUCAUUUCCAAAUCAAUUCAACAAUGCAAGAAACAAAGGAAUGCAAGAAGCCAAUAAAAAGCAAACUGACAAAUGCUAUGAAUGCGACUAACUUGGAUACUACAUGAGCGAGUGCCCAAUAAAGAAGAAAAAAGAAGGAAAAGUUGAACGAAAACCAAAAUUCGACAACUUUCAAAUUACAUUGAAUGAUUGCAACUCAGAUGGUGACAUUGAAGAGGAAGAGGAAUCUGCGCAAAUGACUUUCAUGGCCAUUGGUGAUGAUGAGGUAACUACUUGUAACUCUCAACUUGUUAGUGAUGAUGAAUCUGAUGAUGAUAUUAAAUCCUUCAUUGAGAGACUGCAUGCUAACUUGAAAGAAUCUUAUGCUAUAAACAAGGAGUUAAAACAAAAAAUUAACUUUCUGCUUCAAGAUAGUGCAAACCUAUUUCAACAAAAUAAAAAAUUGAAAACUGAAAUGACUACUUCAAAAAGGGUGAGACUGAUCUACUCAUUGAGCUUGAUAGAAAAAUAAAGGCUGCGUUUGGAUUGAGUGUUUUUACACCUGUUUUUGAAAAACUGUUUUUCACAUUCCAAAUGCUACAGUAAUGUGUAUUUCAAAAACAACUUCAAAAACACCAUAUCCAAACAAUAUAUCAAAAACAACUCCAAAUAUAUUUCAAUUAUGUAUAUUUAAUUUGUAUAUUUUAAUAAGUAUAUUUCAAUUUGUAUAUUUUAAUUAUGUAUUUUAAUAUGUAUAUUUCAAUUAUAUUUUAAUAUGUAUAUUUCAAUUAUGUAUAUUAUAUAUAUAUUAUAUUAAUAUAAAUAUAUUUAUUUCAAUUAUGUAUAAUAUUAUAUAUAUUAUAUCAAUUGAAAUAAAUAUUAUAUAUUUAUAUAAAUACAUUUAUUUAUAUAUAAAUUUAUAAAUAUAUUUAUUCAAUUUUGUUUUAUAAUAUAUAUUAAUAUAUGUUAAUAUGUAUAUUUCAAUUAUGUAUAUUAUACAUAAAUUAUAUUAAUAAUAAUGUAUAUUAUAUAUAUUAUACAUUUAUAUUAAUAUACAUAAUAUUAAUUUUACAUUUAUACAUAAUAUUAAUACAUGUAUACAUUUAUAUUAAUUAUAUUAAUACAUUUCUACAUAAUAUUAAUAUAUAUUUAUAAUUUAUUAAUUUAUACAUUUAUAUUAUAUACUAAUAUAUAUAUUAAUACAUUUAUACAUUUAUACAUUUAUAUUAAUAUACAUAAUAUUAAUUUUACAUUUAUACAUAAUAUCAAUACAUAUAUACAUUUAUAUUAAUUAUAUAAAUACAUUUCUACAUAAUAUUAAUAUAUAUUUAUAGUAUAAUAUAUUAAUUUAUACAUUUAUAAUAAUAUACACUUAUAAUUUAUAAUAUAUUUAUAAUAUUCAUUUAUAAUUUAUACAUUUAUAAUAAUAUACACUUAUACAUUUAUAAAUAUAUUUAUAUUAUGUAUUAUAUAUAAUAUAAUACAUUUAUAUAUUUUUAUAUGAAUAUAUAAAUAUAUUUAUUUAUAAAUAUCUAUAAAUGUAUUAUAAAUGCAUAAAUGCAUAUUUAUAUAAAAAUAUAAAAAUUAUAAUUUAUAAUUUAUUCAUUUAUAAUAAUAUACAUCUAUACAUUUGUAAAUAUAAAUAGAUUAUAAAUGCAUAAAUGUAUAUUUAUAUAAAAAUAUAAAAAUUAUAAUAUUCUAAAAAUACUCAAAAAUAUGUUUCAAAAAUACCUCUAAAAAUAAUUCAAAAAAAUCUACAGUAAAAGUUUUUCAUAUAGUUUUUGAAAAACAACCCCAAAAACAACUAAUCCAAACGGACUUGUUUUUCAGAUUCAAAAUGCUACAGUGGUGUUUUUGAAAAACAAACCCAAAAACAGCUAAUCCAAACGGAGUCAAAGUUUUGUGAAAUGUUCAAAAAGAAAUAAGGUGAUUUAAAAAAAAAUAAUGGACAAUCUAAAUGAGUUGCUCAAACAAAAAAAACAAAGCUGUUUUCAAGAAAUAGUUCAAAACCUCAUCUUGGCAUUCAUGAGAAAAAGUUAAAUUCUAGUGCAAAUGAAUUUAUUGUUUACAAGAGAAGACAAGUAAGAUUUGUUAAACAUGCCCAUACAAGUAACUUAUUGAUUAUGUAUAGUUUUUGUUGUCAAAUAGGUCACAUGAAAAGUAAUUACUAUGUGAGAAAGAACAUGAGAAAACGCAUGAAAUGUAUGUGGAUAGUUAGACAUGAUACUAACUCUCGAGUAUCCAAAAAUUAAAGGGAAACUGGUAAGACCAUGCGAUCGUAAGAUGAUGUAUGAAUAGGAAACUAAUAUAGAUGAUGUCCGUGGGAAUUAAACUGCCUAAACAUCCCUUUAUAUACAUACAUGUGGGAUGGCUAAAGCGGGCCGGGGGUCAUGUUUUAGACAAGGCUUCCACCCAGAAAAAAAUGGCUUGCUUUAUUUCAUAGAAUGCCUUAUGGUUCAGGAGCUUGAUUAGGCAAAGAAUGCAACCCCUGAAGCUUAAAGGCCUGAAUCUGGAGAAGCUUUUUACCAAUUACCAUAUGUUCUUUCACGAGAUUUUCAUAUUUACAGUGUAUUCCGUAUGAAGAGGCUUGCACGUAUUGCUGCUAGUGCAUCAAGGGCUUCAAAUUUCAACCAACCAUAUAGGCUAUCAAAGUUGCUCUCUGAUAAAUUGUUGAACCCGUUUCCAUUUUUUCUUUAGCCCCUUUUUCCUUUGGAAAGAAAGGGUGAGGCCACAGGCGGAAAGCAAGCGUUUUCUAUUUUAAGUAACGUCUUUCCUUCUUUUUUAUCUAUUUUGUGUUUCUUGUUCAGCUGCUAUGUAACAUGUGUCAUGCGUUGGUGACUUGUACACCUAUUGGCAAUCUGUAAAAAGGAAGUAAGGAGUUUGGAAAUUACAAUACCAAAGUAACAAAAUAACAAAAUAUUUGUUUUGCCCAAAAUUUGUUUUUUAACCAAUAAAAAUGCUCUAAACAAGAUUGCAGAACUCAUUAAUUUUACGAGUAAAUCUUAUAUAAACUGACAAUAUAUAUACACUAUCACAUUGGAUACAUGACACAUAAACUAAAUUUAAAUUCAGAUAAAUUGUCAUGUAUCCAAUAGGUAUGGUCAGUGUAUAAAAAAUUAAUCAUAAGUUUACAUAUACGAUACAAUACAAAUAAGAUUGUGGACUCUUAUUUGUGUAAUUGACAGUAUUAAAUAUAUUGAUAAAAAAUAUGAGAUCUUUCCUACUGACGGUGUAUAUACUAUCAGCGUUGGAUGAAUAACAAUCAUGUAAAAUUUGAAUUUGACAGAUUAAUCCAAAAAAUAUUACUAGAUUGUGGAACAGCAGUUUGCGUGGACUCGACGCAAUGCUUUUGUAGUUUAGCCCUUUCAAGUUUGGGCCUAGUUCAUCAUACCAAUCGAGCAGCAUCAGUGCAGCAAAGAAGUCCAGGAAAAGAUAUCCAAUUAUGAUAGUCUAGCCGCAUCUUCUAUGAAGAGUCCAAAAAAGCCCAGUCAAACUUUUAACGCGGUACCCAUGGGCCAUGGUAGAACAGGCGAAUAAAAAAAACAAAUGGGAAACGAGAAGCUGUACUGCUGUGAAUAAGAAGGACCGACUUGUACUGCUGUUUCUUUUCUGAUAAAAAAGAACUCUUACUGCUGGCCAAUGAUAGUGGGUUUAUUGGAAAAUGAUGAUUGUACCAUUAUCUGAUGAAAAGUUUAAGAUUUGGCCAUCCACCGAGCUUAAGAGCCGGAUUGGAUUGUUUUUUUUUUUUUUUGAAUUUUUUUUUUGUGAAAAAAAGUAUGAGAGAUAAAAAUGCGAUUCAAAAAUGAGAUCACGAAAAAUAUAAAUUUUUUUUAAAAAAUUAACUAUUCAAACAAUCAUAAAUCUCUCCUUUUUGGAUAAAUUACAUAAGUAUGUGAAAACUGAAUAUCGUCUUAUUUCUCAUAUUUUCUGGACCAUUUGAUAGUUAAUAUUAUGAAAGUGAUACACAGUUUUUUAUACAUAGAUAGGGAUGAUAUAGAUGAGUCCAUGAUUUUCAUCUAUGGUUUAAUAUUCAUACUAAUCGUCUGAGACAUUAUAAAUCAAUUUAUAAUAAAUCGAUAUUAAUGAGGAAAACAAAAGCAAGUUUUCACAAUCCUUUCGCCAAUGAUCUAUUGAAACGUGAGGUGUGUGUGUGUGUUUUUUUUUUGUUAAAAAAAAAAAAAAAUCUUCUCACUUCUACUCACAACCAAUCGUUUCUAAGAAUUUUGAUCAUUGGAUCAACUUCAACUAUCAACAUGAAACACUAUAGUGAAAUUCGCCCAUGUAGAAAAUUAUAAAAAAAAAAAAAAGAAAGAACGUGAUGAUUUCUUCAAUCUCCUCCCAGAUUCGUAGUUCAAUUUUUUAUUUUUGGAGCUGCAAAUAUGCAAUUCUUCACCUGUACUACUGUUUUAACGUCCAAGAGUACGCGUAGACAGAGAAAAGAAUAAUAUUAAUAUAUUUACAACGGAAGUCGUGUGCGAUUACGCGGCAUGACGAAUCAAAAUUUAAGGGUAUUUUAAAAUCCCGAUUCGGCUGACUUCUCCAAUUUAUCUGCGCAGAAUUUUUUAUUUAGCAAUUUUUUUUUCUUCUCCCUCGUCGUCUUUUUCUCAGUCGAUAAAUACCCCACCGACUUGGCAAUUUAAGGCACACCCGUCUAUCCCACGUAUCCUACUUCUAUCUCUCGGCAUUUGAUAAUUUUAAUUCAGUCAUCAGCAAUCAUGUCUCAGGUACUCCCUCUUCUUCUUCUUCUUCCUCUUCUUCUUUCCCUCCGAUUUCUUGUUUGGUAGCAUUCAUGAUUAGUUUUGUAAAUUCAGGUGGAAUCAGGUUGCGAAGCAUAAUCUCAUAGUUUAGCUAAAAGUUUCCCGUUAGUUGCCCUACCCGAAAUUUCUCGAAUUAGAACUGAUUUGGGUGCCCUAAGAUUUAAUCGGGGUAAUUUGCUUAGUUGAAAUUAGGCUAUUUUCCGUGUUCUUGAAAGAUAAUGUGGUUACUCAUCUGUUCUUGAAUAUUUAUGUAUGUAAAAGUGUCUUUUUUUUUUAAAAAUGUAAUACAACGCUUUUCACCGCUAUCAUUUGGUUCUACCGAAGCAUCGAGCAGGCAAUUUGCAGUAAAAUUAGAUGAUCAAUUUAUGUUUUGACUAGCAAGUUCAGUAACUUUGUGUUUAUUCUUCAGUGAUUGGAUGCUUAAUUGCACUGGUCAAGAAAAAAAAGGGAAAUUAUUAUUUCCAAACACUCUAUCUGGAAGUUCCGGUUGAAUUAAGCAUUUCUUUUAGCUAAUUUAUUUGCUGAAAUCUGUAUUUUCCAGACGAUACUUUGGAUUCGACGAUACUGGGGAAGUAGCAUGGGAAUAUAAGCAAUGUUUUACUCGACUUGUAAUUCUGACCUUAAUAUUUCUCAUUUUCCAUGUUUGCAGACUGUUGUCCUCAAGGUUGGCAUGUCAUGCCAAGGCUGUGUUGGAGCUGUGAAUCGGGUGUUAAGCAAAAUGGAAGGUUUGUCAACUUGCCUAUUCUUCAUUUGAUUGUUUGUCAUUGACACCACUGACUUUGAAACUAUCAAUGAGGAAAAUCUGUGCCCCCUGACCAUGUUGAUUAUGCUCUUCGGAUAUGCAAUAUAGCCUUUUGCUGUAAUAUCUUGUCAGAAUUGUGCAAAAUCUGGUGGCCACCUAGAGAAAUUGGUUAGUUAAGUUGGUGCUUGAUUUUACAAAUCAUUUCUCAACUGUCAAAUAAGCCUGUCCCAGAACUUUCAUGUUCUUGUAAAGUAAUAGAAAUGAAGGUUUGUUGAUUGAUUAGUCGUUCAGUGCUUAUUUCAGACUGCAUGGUAGCCGGCUUAAUAAUUCCUGACUUUACACCAGGCCAUAGUUUCAAGUGCUAUUUUGAUCAAAAGAAACUAGUGAUAUUUGCAUUCAGCACUUGGCUGUUUCUUUGUUAAUUGCCAAAAAAAAAAAGAUAGAAGUUUGCCAAUAUAGCGCUGAGAAUUUAAAUACCAUUCAUAUAGCAAGUGAUUCGACUAUAUCAGACUCGUAAACCACUGCAGACUCUGCAGUAUUCUAUUAUUUUUAUCAACUGAUCACAUGUUGAACAUUGUUCUAUAUAUAAUAUUUGACUGUCUUUACUUCUUAUAAAGAUGGAGUGGUCUUGACAUGUUGAACAUUGGUUUACGUAUAAUAUUUGACUUGCGCUUCGUGGUAAUACUUUCAGGCGUGGAAUCAUUUGACAUUGAUCUUAAGGAGCAGAAAGUGACAGUAAAGGGUAAUGUACAGCCUGAAGCAGUCCUUCAGACUGUUUCAAAGACCGGGAAGAAGACUUCUUUCUGGGAAGAAGGAGCAUCAGCUGCACCUGAAUCGAAGCCCGCAGAAACUGUUGCAGCUGCAUAAUUUGGGUCACUAGUGGCCAGAAAGCUGUUGCUUUCACUUAUUAUGUUACUCUUAAGGAGCUAAAAUGUAUGUUACGGGUCAACAAUAAUAAACAUAUACAAUAC